UACGAGGGGGGCAAGCGUUGCUCGGAAUCACUGGGCGUAAAGGGUGCGUAGGCGGGUCUUUAAGUCAGGGGUGAAAUCCUGGAGCUCAACUCCAGAACUGCCUUUGAUACUGAGGAUCUUGAGUUCGGGAGAGGUGAGUGGAACUGCGAGUGUAGAGGUGAAAUUCGUAGAUAUUCGCAAGAACACCAGUGGCGAAGGCGGCUCACUGGCCCGAUACUGACGCUGAUGCACGAAAGCGUGGGGAGCAAACAGG
rnacentral:rRNA from 1 species